rnacentral:rRNA from 1 species
UACAGAGGUCCCAAGCGUUGUUCGGAUUCACUGGGCGUAAAGGGUGCGUAGGUGGUGAGGUAAGUCGGAUGUGAAAGCUCCGAGCUCAACUCGGAAAUGGCAUUGGAAACUACCUUGCUAGAGGGUUUGAGGGGGGACUGGAAUACUUGGUGUAGCAGUGAAAUGCGUAGAUAUCAAGUGGAACACCAGUGGCGAAGGCGAGUCCCUGGAAAGCUCCUGACACUGAGGCACGAAAGCUAGGGGAGCAAACAGG